rnacentral:lncRNA from 1 species
UGUUCUAUGUGAAGCAGAUAGUAUUUUCGGGCUAUUCCAUAUGUAAAUUUGGAUGAUUUGACUUGUAUUCCUUAUCUUUGUAAAGAUUAAAUGCUUUUUGAAUAUUACUAGUAUUAGAUGAAUGAACAAAUAACUUGUGUUCCUUAUGUUCAGCUUUUUGUAAAGAUUGAAUGCUUUUUUAAUGUCAAUGAUGUUGGGACAAGAUU